AACGAACGCUGGCGGCAGGCUUAACACAUGCAAGUCGAACGCCCCGCAAGGGGAGUGGCAGACGGGUGAGUAACGCGUGGGAACAUACCCUUUCCUGCGGAAUAGCUCCGGGAAACUGGAAUUAAUACCGCAUACGCCCUACGGGGGAAAGAUUUAUCGGGGAAGGAUUGGCCCGCGUUGGAUUAGCUAGUUGGUGGGGUAAAGGCCUACCAAGGCGACGAUCCAUAGCUGGUCUGAGGGGAUGAUCAGCCACAUUGGGACUGAGACACGGCCCAAACUCCUACGGGAGGCAGCAGUGGGGAAUAUUGGACAAUGGGCGCAAGCCUGAUCCAGCCAUGCCGCGUGAGUGAUGAAGGCCUUAGGGUUGUAAAGCUCUUUCACCGAUGAAGAUAAUGACGGUAGUCGGAGAAGAAGCCCCGGCUAACUUCGUG
rnacentral:rRNA from 1 species